CCUACGGGUGGCAGCAGUAGGGAAUCUUCCACAAUGGGCGCAAGCCUGAUGGAGCCACACCGCGUGAGUGAAGAAGGCUUUCGGCUCGUAAAGCACUGUUAUUGGGGAGGAACGUGCGUUGGAGUAACUGUUCACGCAGUGACGGUAUCCGACCAAGAAGUACCGGCUAACUACGUGCCAGCAGCCGCGGUAAUACGGAGGUUGCAAGCGUUAUCCGGAAUUAUUGGGCGUAAAGCGCACGCAGGCGGUUGCUUAGGUCAGAUGUGAAAGCCUUGGGCUUAACCUGAGAACUGCAUCUGAUACCGGGAGACUUGAGUGUCGUAGAGGAGGGUAGAAUUCCAGGUGUAGCGGUGGAAUGCGUAGAGAUCUGGAGGAAUACCAGUGGCGAAGGCGGCCGCCUGGACGGAGACUGACGCUGAGGUGCGAAAGCAUGGGGAGCGAACAGGAUUAGAUACCCUGGUAGUC
rnacentral:rRNA from 1 species